UACGGGGGGAGCAAGCGUUGUUCGGAUUUACUGGGCGUAAAGGGUGCGUAGGCGGAUAGGUAAGUCCGUGGUGAAAUCCUGCAGCUUAACUGCAGAACUGCCGUGGAUACUAUCUAUCUUGAAUGUCGUGGAGGUUAGCAGAAUAUGUCAUGUAGCGGUGAAAUGCUUAGAUAUGACAUAGAAUACCCAUUGCGAAGGCAGCUAACUACGCGAUAAUUGACGCUGAUGCACGAAAGCGUGGGGAUCAAACAGG
rnacentral:rRNA from 1 species